CCUACGGGAGGCAGCAGUGGGGAAUAUUGCACAAUGGGGGAAACCCUGAUGCAGCGACGCCGCGUGAGUGAAGAAGUAAUUCGUUAUGUAAAGCUCUAUCAGCAGGGAAGAAAAUGACGGUACCUGAGUAAGAAGCCCCGGCUAACUCCGAACCAGCAGCCGCGGUACUACGUAGGGGGCAAGCGUUAUCCGGAUUUACUGGGUGUAAAGGGAGCGUAGGCGGCAGUGCAAGUCUGGAGGGAAGGGCGGGGGCUCAACCCCCGGACUGCUCUGGAAACUGUACGGCUGGAGUGCAGGAGAGGUAAGUGGAAUUCCUAGUGCAGCGGUGAAAUGCGUAGAUAUUAGGAGGAACACCAGUGGCGAAGGCGGCUUACUGGACUGUAACUGACGUUGAGGCUCGAAAGCGUGGGGAGCAAACAGGAUUAGAUACCCUGGUAGUC
rnacentral:rRNA from 1 species